GUUCGCGGCAGGAACUUUGAAACUUUAAAGCUCCUAGCACGCCUCUAGUAACGACAAAGUAGCUUCGAGUGUUGCUUAGAACCAGCCUUUGCUCUUCACUUCGAGGCGAAGUAAAUGUGUUGCUCUGUCAAUGGAAACGACAGUGGGAUCGUCGCUACACAAAGAAGCUAUCUGACAUUAGACUUUGCUCCAGGACUGUCGGGGAAGAAUGACGAUUGGAGAAGCAACCAGGACAGAACAUAAAGGAGUAGGACACAGACCUUUCCACAGGACGCAAGAUUCCAUCUUCAGAACAGAGGACAAAGGGUGUUAACUUCUCAUUAAAGAAGAGCCAAGUGAUACCUGCACAUUUGAGUUCUUGAGUCCCAGCCAUAUGGAUCCACAGCUGCAAGAGAUGCUGCUGUCCCCAAAGUGCAGUGUUCAGCUUUCGAGAGUAAAAGUGGAACCUCCUGAUGCUGCAUGUCUACAUGAACAGGAACAGUA